rnacentral:lncRNA from 10 species
CUCCUAUCUCCUUGGCUGCAGCACCUGACUAAAUUCUUCUUCCUUGGCAAUACUUGUUGUCUCAGUGAUUGGCUUUCUGUGAGGUGAGCAGAAGGACCUAGAUGGAUCCCCCGGUGUUUCGGUCUCACCGCAGAGGGGCACGCCAGCCAUGAGGACAGAUGAGGGAACACGUGAUGCCACGAUGGGGGUGCCAGGAUGAGUUUACCUGGAAGGUCCUCUCCUGCGCUGGCUCUGGGGGUGCUUGGAACCAGAGCCCCUUAGUCGAAGCGCGUCCUGCUGCCAGCUACUACCAAGUCCUUAGGCCGAGCCCGUUUCUCUCCUGGUGAUGUGAAUCCUCGUUUUUUGUUGUUGUUGUUGUCGUUUACUGAAGUCCCGGGCUGAUUAGACACAGCAAUGGAAGCUGGGGGUGGCCUGGGCCGUGCAUUGAAUUUGUGACUUUAGCAAGUCCCUAAAUUCCUCUCUGCCUCACUUUUGCUGUCUUUUUUAGGUUAAAAAUAUUUUGGAGAAUAGAAAACAGAACAAAACAAAAAUAAUGGCUUAUAGUGCCAAUAUGGAAUUAUAGUCACUCCUAACAUUUUGGUAUAUUGUUUUGCAUUUGCUUUGUUUCUAUUCUAUGCUUAUAUAUUUUUAAUUUUUUUCCAUCACUGUCAUCAUAUUUCCUAUUCAGGUCUCCAGCCUGCUUUAAAAAUUUUUUAAUCAUAAAGUUCCAUAAAAAUUUUAUUUCAGCCAAUUUCUUUUAUAACACGUUCUUCAUGAAUCUUAUCUGAUAUCUGCAUAAUAUUCCACUCAUACUUUGCACAAUUAGACAUUAAGGUCGUGUGUACUUUUUAAAUUAUGAUACAGCAAUUUCUAAAUAGUGUAUAAUUUCAAUUUUUGUUUCUUAGUUAUCAUAACAGUUCUUAAAAGGUGAUAACAAAUUUUUAAGUGGAUACAUUUUUUCCCCCUUCUUUGGUUUAUAAUUUUAUUGCUCUGUGGUCUGAGAAUGUGGCUGUAUUUACGCUUUUUGAAAUUGAAGUUUUUGAUUGAUGGUUGAUUUCGUAAAUAAGUUUAGGCACAGUUUUGUAUAAAUGAUUGGGCACAAAAUUCUUUAUAUUAGAUCAAGCUUUGUAAAAUGUAUUAUCCAUAUCUGCUAUGUCUUUUUAAAAUUUUUAUCUACUUGAUCUAAUUUCUGAAAGAGCUGUAAGUUUUUUAAAUGUGUUUGUGGAUUUACUAUUUCUUCUUUAUAUAUAUAUAUAUAUAUAUAUAUAU